UUCCAGACUCCUACGGGAGGCAGCAGUGAGGAAUAUUGGUCAAUGGACGCAAGUCUGAACCAGCCAUGCCGCGUGCAGGAAGACGGCUCUAUGAGUUGUAAACUACUUUUGUACGAGGGUAAACGCAGAUACGUGUACCUGUCUGAAAGUAUCGUACGAAUAAGGAUCGGCUAACUACGUGCCAGCAGCCGCGGUCAUACGUAGGAUCCGAGCAUUAUCCGGAGUGACUGGGUGUAAAGAGUUGCGUAGGUGGCAUAGUAAGUAGCUAGUGAAAUCUGGUGGCUCAACCAUUCAGACUAUUAGCUAAACUGCUAAGCUCGAGACCGUUAGGGGUAACUGGAAUUUCUAGUGUAGGAGUGAAAUCCGUAGAUAUUAGAAGGAACACCGAUAGCGUAGGCAGGUUACUGGGACGGUUCUGACACUAAGGCACGAAAGCGUAGGGAGCAAACGGGAUUAGAUACCCCAGUA
rnacentral:rRNA from 1 species